UGGGGAAUUUUGGACAAUGGGCGAAAGCCUGAUCCAGCAAUGCCGCGUGAGGGAUGACGGCCUUCGGGUUGUAAACCUCUUUUAGCAGGGAAGAAGCGAGAGUGACGGUACCUGCAGAAAAAGCGCCGGCUAACUACGUGCCAGCAGCCGCGGUAAUACGUAGGGCGCAAGCGUUAUCCGGAAUUAUUGGGCGUAAAGAGCUCGUAGGCGGUUUGUCGCGUCUGCUGUGAAAUCCCGAGGCUCAACCUCGGGCCUGCAGUGGGUACGGGCAGACUAGAGUGCGGUAGGGGAGAUUGGAAUUCCUGGUGUAGCGGUGGAAUGCGCAGAUAUCAGGAGGAACACCGAUGGCGAAGGCAGAUCUCUGGGCCGUAACUGACGCUGAGGAGCGAAAGGGUGGGGAGCAAACAGGCUUAGAUACCCUGGUAGUCCACCCGUAAACGUUGGGAACUAGUUGUGGGGUCCAUUCCACGGAUUCCGUGACGCAGCUAACGCAUUAAGUUCCCCGCCUGGGGAGUACGGCCGCAAGGCUAAACUUAAAGGAAUUGACGGGGUCAUAGCUGUUUCCU
rnacentral:rRNA from 1 species